UAAUACGGAGAGUGCAAGCGUUGUUCGGAAUUAUUGGGCUUAAAGAGCGUGUAGGCGGGGUAUCAGGUGCCAUGUGAAAGCCCCGGGCUCAACCCGGGAAUGGCAUGGCAAACCGAUAUUCUUGAGGCAGGCAGAGGUGACUGGAACGACUGGUGGAGCGGUGAAAUGCGUAUAUAUCAGUUGGAACGCCUGAGGCGAAAGCGGGUCACUGGGCCUGUCCUGACGCUGAGACGCGAAAGCGUGGGUAGCGAAGAGGAUUAUAUACCCUCGUAGUCCACGCCGUAAACGAUGCGUACUAGGUAUGGGAGGUUCUGACGCCGACCGUGCCGAAGCAAAAGUGAUAAGUACGCCGCCUGGGGAGUACGGCCGCAAGGCUA
rnacentral:rRNA from 1 species